UUGGCGCCGUCCAGGUUGUGGGUGUUGUUGAAGACGGCGACGUUGACGCCGGCGACCAUGGAGUUGAUCCGGGUGCCGGAUCCCGGGGUGCCGGAC
rnacentral:tRNA from 2 species